GGGAGAGACGGUUCCAGUUCUGAGAUGAGGGCAAGAAGUGUGUGAAGCGAGCCCGGAGCAUCCUGCAGUGCCAAGAAGGAAGGACGCUCCCAGAUCACACCGUGUUCCCAGGGCCGAGCCCAGAAUGACCAUGCGAUCCGAAGCAGGGCACUGUGACAGCAUCAGGACGUUGGUGCUGAGACAGGAAGUGUGUGCUCUAAGGAACAGCUCGUGUUCCCUCAAAAUCAUCCUGUGUGGCCCAAGACAAGCUGUUCGCAACCGUGGGAAAUCCCUCCAAGCCCAAGAGCUCCACAAAUUCCACAGACAUUCUUGUUCACAGAACUGGGAGAGAUGAUGCCAGCAUCUUGGGGUCAAGGUCAGGAACACGGAGGCGCAUUCUGCAACACUCAGGGCGGCACCCCCGGAACAACUAUUAGCCCCAAAAUCAAACGGUGAAGAGGCUGAAACCCUGGGAAAGCUUAACGCUUCCGCUCACUUCCUCCCCGAGUUCCUGCAAAUCUAGAAUACGGAUAGCAAGUUGUGGAAACCUGCACAUAUGCCACAGACAAAUCCAGAGAGCCAGCACGCCUGAGAAUUCUGCGUGAUAGAAGCCAACUAAAAAUAGCACAGGCUCACUGUAGAGGCACAGGAAUUGGCUGGCAGAUUGGGGUGGACACGCAGGCCACACAGACAGCUUAGACUGUGACUCAUGCAGAGCUCCAAGCCCGAUCACGCAAGUGACAGAGCACACACACUCAGCAGACGCUGACACAGAAGGGGAUGUUCCAACACCAUGGACAAGCCUGAAGAAGAGCGACAAACCCAGAGACUUCUCAGGCCACUGACAUUUGGAAUCCAAAGCCGACGAAAAUCAGACUCAUUAUCCAGGCUGACUAUGAAACAUCUUCAACUGCCAUGAGUCUGCAGAUGGACCGGCAAGGGACAAAGGGACUCCAGGAUACGGAAGGGAUAUUUUCAGCCAUGACAUCUUAUAAAAUCAACCUUUGAAGGAGGCCGUGGCCGUGGCCUCUUUAUAUCUCUUCCACAAGAACAAACAGUGAACCCUUAUUUAGUAAAAGAACCAUAAUCUUUAUACUGACUUGAUAAA